UUCAGAUCAAUCUGCCUAAAGCCCAUUUCCUCCAGCUCCCUCAGCAGCUUCUCUUCAUUGUGACCAUCUAUGUCAAAAGGCUCAGGUGCUGCGGCGCUGGCUGCAGGUGGAGGCACAGGCACAGAAGCAGGGGCAGGGGCAGAUGCAGGUGCGGAUGCAGGGGCAGGCAUAGAAACAGGCACAGUUGUAGGCAGGAUAGGCACAUUAACAGGUGAAGGUCCAACCGGGGCAAGCAGCUCAGGUGCAGGUGCAGGCACACUAACAGAAGGCACAAAAGCAGCAGCAGUGGCACUGGACAUGGGAACAUCAACGACAAGGUUUGCAGGAGCUGCUGCAGGCAUAGAGGUAGCAACUACUAGAGCAGGCUGAGAUUUCUUGGGCUCUGGAACAUCACUCGGAUAGAAGUGGAAC
rnacentral:lncRNA from 1 species